rnacentral:rRNA from 1 species
CACGUAGGGUGCGAGCGUUGUCCGGAAUUAUUGGGCGUAAAGCGCGCGCAGGCGGCGGUGCUGGCCCGGCGUGAAAGCCCCCGGCUCAACCGGGGAGGGUCGUCGGGGACCGCACCGCUUGAGGGCGGGAGAGGUCGGUGGAAUUCCCGGUGUAGUGGUGAAAUGCGUAGAGAUCGGGAGGAACACCUGUGGCGAAGGCGGCCGACUGGGCCGACCCUGACGCUGAGGCGCGAAGGCGUGGGGAGCGAACGGG